UGGUAUAGCUCAGUUGGUAGAGCAGCGCAUUCGUAAUGCGCAGGCCGCGGGUUCGAGUCCCAUUACCA
rnacentral:tRNA from 1 species